AACGAACGCUGGCGGCAGGCCUAACACAUGCAAGUCGAACGCCCCUUCGGGGGAGUGGCAGACGGGUGAGUAACGCGUGGGAACCUACCUAGUGGUACGGAAUAACUCGGGGAAACCCGUGCUAAUACCGUAUGAGCCCGAGAGGGGAAAGAUUUAUCGCCAUUAGAUGGGCCCGCGUCUGAUUAGCUAGUUGGUGAGGUAAUGGCUCACCAAGGCGACGAUCAGUAGCUGGUCUGAGAGGAUGAUCAGCCACACUGGGACUGAGACACGGCCCAGACUCCUACGGGAGGCAGCAGUGGGGAAUAUUGGACAAUGGGCGCAAGCCUGAUCCAGCCAUGCCGCGUGAGUGACGAAGGCCUUAGGGUUGUAAAGCUCUUUUGGCGGGGACGAUAAUGACGGUACCCGCAGAAUAAGCCCCGGCUAACUUCGUGCCAGCCGCCGCCGUAACAC
rnacentral:rRNA from 1 species